rnacentral:lncRNA from 1 species
UGAAAUUAUUCAAUAACUCACCUUCCAUUUUGAUGAGUGUCGACAAAUAAGACCCAAGUUAGUUUUUGAAUAACAUAUGCUGAUGGUAAUCUUGAUUAAUGAAAGGUUUGGAUUUAGAACAUCUUUUCUGGGGCCGGCCUGGUGGUGCAGCGGUUAAGUGCGCACGUCCACUUCGGAAGCCUGAGGUACGCCGGCUGGGAUCCCGGGUGCGGACAUGGCACCGCUUGGCAAAAGCCAUGCUGUGGUAGGUGUCCCACAUAUAAAGUAGAGGAAGAUGGGCAUGGAUAUUAGCUCAGCCCAGUCUUCCUCAGCAAAAAGAGGAGGAUUGGCAGCAGUUAGCUCAGGGCUAAUCUUCCUCAAAAAAAAAAAGAACAUCUUUUCUUACACCCAAAAUGCAAUCAUAAGGCAUUAUGAUUAGACAUUGUAGUAAAUGCAAAAUCAAUAUCAUUAACAAAGCCACAGUGGGGAUAUGUGGACAGGUUUUGUUUAUUGUUCCCUAGUCAGCUUCUUGAUGAAUCAACCUCAUAGUCUCUGUCAGUUUCCAAACAUUCUAGACAGGUGACGAAACACUGACCACCUCAGGUUCCCAGAACAUUCUGCUGUAGGCCAGGCCAGACCAGAUCAGAGCAGAACAGCAGGCUCUCCUUAGACUUCUUAACAUAAAGAUAAUAGAUUCUUAGAGUGCCAUCAGAGCCUUUAGCGCAUGGUGAAGUUGAGCAAGAUUUUGUUCUCAAGUACAGCCCGUGAGAAUGAGGAAGAGGAAACUUAUCUCUGAAGAGAGAAUAAUCCCAUAUACUUGGCUUGUACCAGAACUGGAUGACCAAGGACAUGAACCAAAUGCAACAUACACAAAAACAAAUAAGCAAUGAAGUUUAUGAGAAAAGAAGGUUGAAGAACAAUACACCUUUUCUACCACAGCAAUGCUAUUCUGCAGGGUGGGAUGCGUUCCUCUGGAAGGAUACAGCCAGAAUUGCCCCUCGUUGCCUCAGAAAGUUUUGGAAUUGGAAGUGUGGGGGCGUUUAGGCCCUGAGGAAGUCUGGGUGGUGGGCCACGUCCCCACGCCUCAGCUGACCCUAACGAAAAUGGGGAGCAGUCCACCCUUCCCCUUCCUCUACCUUUCCUGGAGCAGAAGGGAGGAGAGAACUCGCAGCUCUGAAAAGGACCAGAGAUAGGAAUAUUUUCCUGAAAACCGUAACUUACCUUCAUUUAGAAAACGUUGCUGAUUCCUGAGUAUCUCACAGGUGAGCAGUCAGUGCAGGUGUGUGUAUGGAUGGGUUUUGCGAUUGUGGACACUGGAGUGGCCAGGGCAGGGUCCAGGAACUGGGUGGGUCCCGCCGAAGAAUCUGUUAUAUGUGGGGUGUUAAUCUGUCUGGAAGGCACAUUCUGAGCUCAACAAUGAGGUCUCCCUGCAUGUGAGGACACCUCAAGGAAUGGGCAGAGCCGCUCCCGAGGGAAACUUCCUCAGGACGCCCAGCUUGGUAGAAUUAUUGCAAGACCAAGAGAUCACCUGGCUAUCACUUGUAGGAAUGGUCAGCGGGCAGCCACCCAGAAUUUAGGGCAAAAGGAGACAACAAGUAGGGAAAAAGGAAUGGUGGAGUG